UUCUUUUUUUCCUUUCAUACCAAUGGCUGCUAAACACAAACAUGUUUGGCUUCAUCUGGGAACAGUGAUGUGAACAUAAUACAUUCCUCCUCUAUGCAGGCACAGGUGAGACUCUACUGGACACAUGCUCAUCAUUUGCAAGAACACAGACCUGACCCAGCAUAAAGAAUGUGUUAAAUGACAAUGGGGACAGUGGAGAGCUGUUUGAGAUUAUGUAAUCUCAUUCUACACAAGCUGGCAGAAUUUUUCUCUUUAUUAAGUAUUGUUUACCUUCAGAAAAUUUAUCUUCCUCUCUUAGGAAUGAAGAUGGAAAUUUAACGCAAAGCAUCCUGGUCCUUGCUCAUUAUGAUUCUGUAAAGUCCUGCCAUUUAGGAAAUGUGUCUCAAUUUCUGUGGAGAUGAAGCAGGAAGGUCAGACUGAGCUUUAAUCAAGGUCAGCCGGCAACAUCCUGUCAGAUCAGCCCAGCUGGAAUGAACCCUGGGUGUCAAAGAAUGUUCUGGGAAUUUCCCGGAGCUUUGUGGAUUUCAGACCUGACACUUCACUGGCUCUUACAACAGAGGUGACUCCCUACAAGGCGGACCUUCAAACAGUGACCUAAAGGGAAGAGGCUCAGCUGAAGCCCUGCAGCCUGAACCGAUCCCUUUUAUCAUCAGCAAGCAGGAGGGCAUUCCACCAGGUGACAAGGAUGCUCCGAGAACUGGGGGCACAGAAAUGGUCUCUGAUCUUUCCAAGUAUAACAUGAUGAUUUUUGGAGAAAUAUUAUUUUUUUCCUAUCAAAAUAUCAAACUGCUAAAAUGAUUGUAAAUUCCAGCUUGACCUAGGGUGUGUAGCUAUAUUUAUAAAGCAAGAAGUUUCAAAUAAAAAGAAAAUUAAGUCUGACUACACUACAGCCUUUUCUGUAGAAAAAAAAAUUAUUCAAUUAUGUAAUUGGUAAUUAAUAUUUGGAUGGGUUAAAAAAAACUGUUCAAUUUUAAGGAUCGCUUUAUUUACUGAUUGAGAAAAAUGAAGUUACAUUCUGGAAUAUAAACUAAAUAUAUUUUCUAUACAGUAGCUUGAAGCAUACACAGAGGCAGUAUGGCAUAAAUUCUAUACAACAAAGUUUCUGUAUAAACUUCUUGUUCUCCUCACUGAAUAAUCCUGCUUCUUUUUCUGCUCAAGUUAUGUUGAUCUCUUCUGGGAAACUCAGUUUGCUUGGGUCAGGUCAGCUGCAGUUUGGGCUUUUAUGUAAGAGUCCACAGUCAAUUUCUAUGUAUGAUCUUGUUCUGUUUGCUUUAUGCCUUUUUCUUCCUGCCUUCACGCUCUGCAUGUCUGCCCAAUAAUUACAUAUUCCUCUAAACAGAAAAAAAGUUCUGCAAUGCUAGACGUAAGUUCUAUUUUUUCAUUUGAGCCCUCAGUGCUAUAAUUUUCUAUACAUUCUUCCUAGUUUAAGAACUAGUUAGAUAAGUAACUAGUUAACAAUAUAGGAUAUAAAGGCUCAGAUAUUUUUGAUAGAUUAUUUCUGUUACCAAUAUGAGCUGUGAUUUUCUAUAAUUUUCUAUAAAUUCUUCCUAGUUGAAGAACUAGUUAGAUAAGUAACUAGUUAACUAUAUAGAAUAUAAAGGCUCAGAUAGUUUUGAUAGAUUAUUUCUGUUAUCAAUAUGAGCUUUUAGUGAUUUUCAUCUUGAAUUUAUUUUAUCUAUCAUUUCAAUUACUAUAUAUGCUUUCUUUUUGCAACCAGUUGCCUCAUACUUCUCUAAAUAUCUACUUUUCUGGAAACUUCGGAGGCUAAAUUUUUAAGUUUGUGAGUCUGUUGUUUAAUAAACUUAAUAUACUAUCAUGUAUUGCUAU
ensembl:lncRNA